AACGAACGCUGGCGGCACGCCUAACACAUGCAAGUCGAGCGCUACCUUCGGGUGGAGCGGCGGACGGGUUAGUAACGCGUGGGAACGUACCCAGAUCUGCGGAAUAGCCUUUGGAAACGAAGAGUAAUACCGCAUACGCCCUUCGGGGGAAAGAUUUAUCGGAUUUGGAUCGGCCCGCGUAAGAUUAGAUAGUUGGUGGGGUAAUGGCCUACCAAGUCUACGAUCUUUAGCUGGUUUGAGAGGAUGAUCAGCAACACUGGGACUGAGACACGGCCCAGACUCCUACGGGAGGCAGCAGUGGGGAAUCUUAGACAAUGGGCGCAAGCCUGAUCUAGCGAUGCCGCGUGAGUGAUGAAGGCCUUAGGGUCGUAAAGCUCUUUCGCCUGUGAUGAUAAUGACAGUAGCAGGUAAAGAAACCCCGGCUAACUCCGUGCCAGCAGCCGCGGUAAUACGGAGGGGGUUAGCGUUGUUCGGAAUUACUGGGCGUAAAGCGCACGUAGGCGGAUUAAUAAGUCAGAGGUGAAAUCCCAGGGCUCAACCCUGGAACUGCCUUUGAUACUGUUAGUCUUGAGUUCGAGAGAGGUAAGUGGAAUUCCGAGUGUAGAGGUGAAAUUCGUAGAUAUUCGGAGGAACACCAGUGGCGAAGGCGACUUACUGGCUCGAUACUGACGCUG
rnacentral:rRNA from 1 species